UCGCGAAAACUUCACAAUGGGGGAAACCCCGAUGAGGGAAUUCCAAGUGCCAGCACAUUGUGUUGGCUGUUCCCCUGUCUAAAAAACAGGAGAAGUAAGGGCCGGGUAAGACGGGUGCCAGCCGCCGCGGUAAUACCCGCGGCCCGAGUGGUGGUCGAUAUUAUUGAGCCUAAAACGUUCGUAGCCGGUCUUGUAAAUCCUUGGGUAAAUCGGCCAGCUUAACUGUCCGAAGUCCGGGGAGACUGCAAGACUUGGGAUCGGGAGAGGUCAGAGGUACUUCUGGGGUAGGGGUAAAAUCCUGUAAUCCUAGAAGGACCACCGGUGGCGAAGGCGUCUGACUAGAACGAAUUCGACGGUGAGGAACGAAGCCCUGGGGCGCAAACGGG
rnacentral:rRNA from 1 species